rnacentral:ncRNA from 1 species
AAGGCAUCGACAAAGUAACUCACACGAGCGAAAUCAUUGGCAGAGAAAAGUAAUGAAGGAGCCUAUAACCUUCCCUAAAGGGUAAAUACUACAUCAUGACGUCUCACAGACGGACGCUUCUUGCAUGGCAGGAUUGGCACACUGUUUCAUGUCUGUGAGCUAUGCAGCUAGUCGCCAAAGAAAGGAAGCUGUGCAGGGUGAACUCAAAAGAAAGACAUGAG